AUGGAUGGUGAGAAGAAAACCUACGGUGGCUGUGAAGGCCCUGAUGCCGUGUAUGUCAAAUUGAUAUUAUCUGAUGGCCAUGAAUUUAUUGUCAAAAAAGAACGUGCAUUAACAUCGGGCACGAUAAAAGCCAUGUUGAGUGGCCCAGGUCAAUUUGCUGAGAACGAAGCCGAUGAGGUCCAUUUUAGAGAGAUCCCUUCACAUGUGCUAUCAAAAGUACAUGUAUUUUAUGUACAAGGUUCGCUACGCUAACAGCUCCACCGAGAUUCCCGAAUUCCCAGUUGCGCCUGAAAUUGCACUAGAACUGCUGAUGGCUGCGAACUUCCUAGAUUGU
rnacentral:lncRNA from 1 species